GCCGUUCAUGCAGCCUCGCUGUUCAUGCAGCCUCGCUGGCCGAUCUGCAGCCUGGCCCUGGAGGAGUGGGGUGAGGAGAAGGUGCUUCUGGCCUCAGGAUGUAGCCCUUCCCCCUGCAUGGAUGAGCCGCCAGGUUCUCUGCUCCUCUUCCCCUUUCCUGCCUGUACCCACCUCUGCUCACCUAGUAUGUGGCCAGUUACGAGGAUAUGUGCAUUUGCCCAGCUCUCUGUGCCUUCUCUUUUGCUGGGGGAAGGAGGACAGUCAGAUGAGUCCUGCAGUUGUUUUCCGUGAUGAGUCAAGAACCUACUCUGUGGAUGCAGUGAAUUGAAGUCUGUCUUCUCUCUGGGGAACCUCCUUGGGCCCUGUCUGGUGACAGUCUCAUCCAGGCUAGGGCUUUGAAGAACACGUGUUUGCUGAUGAUGCCCAGAUCUGUGCCCGCCCUGACUUUGACGAAAACCUGCACCUAAGUCUUCCCUGUGUCCAUCCGAGUGACACCCAGAGUGAAUGUGUUCAGGAUGUCUUAGCCUCAGGCCUACUCCCCUCCACCCUUACCUUCUCCUGGGCUCCGCCUGUCUAUCUCCUCCACCAGAAUGUCAGCUCCAUGUGGGCUGGGUGGGGUUGUCUAUUUUGUCCACUGCUCUGUCCCUAGUACCUAGAGCCAUGGCUGGCACAGAAGAACCCUCAGAGGGUGGUGGAUGGAUGGAUGGAUGGAUGGAUGAGUGGGUGGGUGAGGACACUGGAAUCUGAAUUGCCAGGCUCACUUGUGCAGGUGAUCAGCAUUGCUCCUGUUCGAAGUCCAAAGCCAGGUGUCCCACACAGAAAGCUCUUGUGUCUGCCCUCUGGCAGGGGUGGUAGGACAUGAGUUGAGAGUGAAAACUAAACCCAGUGUCCCAUGGCAUCCUUUUCCUGAGGGUCUGGCCCGGGUGGAGAUCUCUCCCUUGGUGGCCUUCCAUCCUCCUCACCCACCGCUGGCAGCCAGGGAAGGUCAGGGAGGGCAGGGAUGAAUGCACUGGGAGGGUAGGCAUGGCGGAGGCCAGUCUCCCCCCAGCCCCAUCCUCCAGGACCCGAGUCACAGCUAGCCUCAGGCCACACCCCUGUCAUCAGGGAUGCCCAUCUCACCCUGAUCUUGCCCCUGGCGAAAAGCAGUGUCUUCCUUGAUGGAACAUCUGCGGCACACCUGGGCAGGUGGGAAGUGCGGCAUUCCUAUGGGGCUUGGGAGGACAGUCGGGCAGUGGGGAAGAAGAGAGGGAGAGCAAGGAGAAGAGGUGGAGGCCAAAAAGACAUGGAGAAAGAUAUUCACUCGCUGAGAACAACAGGAUGGGUGUUGGAGACCUGCAGAAAGACCCCAAAGGACAGAGUGGAGAUGUCCAGAGAGAAAAACAUAGACACAGAAAAUGGGGAGGACAGAGACUUGGGCUGCGGGUGGGCUUGUUUAUGGGCACGUCCACCGAGGUCAUGAGAAGUGAGGGUCAGGGAGUGGAUCCUGAACCUACAAUCUGCUUCUGCAUCUGCAAGUGGGCCUGAUAAGACAGCACUUUCUGCUCCAGGUAGCUGAGAGGAUUGCUGAUUGCAGAGGGGAAUGGAUGUGCUGACUCAUGGGGGCUCAGCCCUCCCUCUCCCCAAUGCCUGUGUCUCUCAGCGAGUAGUGAUGGCACAAUUGCUGUGGGGAGGCCCUGGGCACCACAGGCUAGAGGCUGGUCUGCAGGUGGGCACAAGGCUGAGUAUCACCAAGGCUGGCAGCAGCAGUGGGGAAAGGAAAGGUGUCUGGAGACACAGAGCCUGGCACAAAUGGGCACCUAGCAAGUGCUGGA
ensembl:lncRNA